rnacentral:misc_RNA from 1 species
UCCGGUUUAUCACCGGCAGUCUCCUUAGAGUGCCCAGCCGAACUGCUAGCAACUAAGGACGAGGGUUGCGCUCGUUACGGGACUUAACCCAACAUCUCACGACACGAGCUGACGACAGCCAUGCAGCACCUGUCACUUGGUUCCCGAAGGCACUUCUGCAUCUCUGCAGAAUCCCAAGGAUGUCAAGGGUAGGUAAGGUUUUUCGGGUUGCGUCGAAUUAAACCACAUGCUCCACCGCUUGUGCGGGCCCCCGUCAAUUCAUUUGAGUUUUAACCUUGCGGCCGUACUCCCCAGGCGGAGAACUUAACGCGUUAGCUUCGGCACUAAGAAGUUAAACUUCCCAACGCCUAGUUCUCAUCGUUGACAGCGUGGACUAC